CGGCGGACGGGUGAGUAACGCGUGGGCAACCUGCCUCACACAGGGGGAUAACAGUUAGAAAUGACUGCUAAUACCGCAUAAGACCACGAAACCGCAUGGUUUUGAGGUAAAAACUCCGGUGGUGUGAGAUGGGCCCGCGUCUGAUUAGGUAGUUGGUGCGGUAACGGCGCACCAAGCCGACGAUCAGUAGCCGACCUGAGAGGGUGACCGGCCACAUUGGGACUGAGACACGGCCCAAACUCCUACGGGAGGCAGCAU
rnacentral:rRNA from 1 species